rnacentral:lncRNA from 1 species
AACCUUCUGGUUUACCUUCUCUGAUGGCUUUAACUGUCUCUCCGGCCACCUCCAGCCUCACAUCUUUCGAUCACCAGCCGUCGUGAAGCCUUACCUCACCGGUUCUCUGUCUCUGAAACCCCAUGAGUCUAUGUGAUACAAGAUGGUCACUGAAGAUUUUUGGGGUUUACUUCCGGCCUUUCUCCAAUGGAUUUCGGUCUGAUGGUGCAGUAAACACCAUUAUUUUCGAGUUUCACAGCCAAGUUUCUCUUGUUUCUCUCACAGGUUUCAUAUGAAACCCUAAUCUUGAUCCAAACCUCUGAUUUUUAAUGAUUUUAGCUCGUACCUUUAUGUUUUGCACUAUUUUCUACUCGAUCUUUACGAUUACUCUGGUUUUAAAUGCUUUUGUUCCCUUUUUGAAACAAGGGUUUCUCAACCCCUUUUCAAAAUCACUUUAUUUUCUGAUUUUGAGUACUAACUCAUGAUUUUCAAUACUAUUUCUAAUCACUUUUUUGCUUAAGUCUAAUGAAACCUUAGCUGUAUGUUUGUGUUUGUAUUAUUUGUUCGAUUGUGUGUUCUUCUAGGUUCUUCUGUAAGUUUCGUGUUCUUUGCUUUAAUUUUGGUUUCUAGUGUUUCAUUCUCCUACCAGCUUGUGUUCUCCGUUUAAGGUUUCUUUAAUUGUUUGCGUGACGAUUUUAUACUGAUUCUUACAAGCCCUCGUUGAGACUACGAUAUUUGCCUUAUAUUGUGAUUCUGCAUACUUUCCUUAUGGUUUGGUACUGAUUUCAAAUUGCUUCCUUAAUUUGUGGGAUACUUUCCUCGGUUAAUACUGAUUUCCUAGGUUUUCAAUCUCGUCCAUUAGUCUGAAAACUAUUUUCCAGAAUUAAAGUGGUAUUUUGCCCUAUAUAUGUGCACAAAUAUGCUGAUUGAUUUGCCUGACCUAUUUCCCUAACUAUAGUAUCAUUCACCUAGUCUUUAUUGCAUACUCUAUGCUAUUCUGUUUCUUUAUGUGAUCAUACCAUGCAUGUAAUUUCUUUCCUUUUAAAUAGCUGCUCAUUACCGUUUGACUUUGAUUCAUUAAUUAAAGGGGAGCC